rnacentral:tRNA from 1 species
GCCUGUAGCUCAGCUGGCAGAGCAUCGGACUUUUAAUCCGCGGGUCGCGGGUUCGAGCCCCGCCGGGCC